UCCUGUACGUAAUGACGUAGUGUUGUAGGCAUAGCUGUGAUGGCAGCCGUGGGCUGACAUCGAUACAUUACUGAAUAUAAACUAUUUAAAAGUUAGCGAUAAAACCCCGACACAGUAGCGUAGAACAAAUAAAGUGUUUCUGAUAGUACACAAUUAAAACACACACCCGGCCGGUUCGGGGAACGUCUUUUGCAGGAAAGCACAUUGGGUCUAUACACCACCUCUCAUGUGAAGGCUUCUGUCUUUCUGGCGUUUUUUCUCCUUGCAUGGUAAAGUGGCACUAUGCCCGCAGCUACUGUGGAUCACAGCCAAAGAAUAUGUGAGGUUUGGGCCAAUAACCUGGAGGAGGAGUUGAAGAGGAUUCGAAAUGUCAUCCGAAAAUACAACCAUAUUGCUAUGGAUACAGAGUUUCCAGGUGUUGUAGCCAGACCCAUCGGAGAGUUCAGAAGCAAUGCAGACUAUCAGUACCAGCUACUGCGCUGUAAUGUGGAUCUGCUCAAGAUUAUCCAGCUGGGCCUCACGUUUAUGAACGAACAAGGGGAAUAUCCUCCUGGGACAUCAACAUGGCAGUUCAAUUUUAAGUUUAACCUCACAGAAGAUAUGUAUGCACAGGACUCCAUUGAGCUCCUGACCACCUCAGGGAUCCAGUUCAAGAAGCACGAGGACGAAGGCAUCGAGACGCUGUACUUUGCCGAGCUGCUAAUGACAUCAGGAGUGGUGCUCUGUGAUGGGGUCAAGUGGCUGUCUUUUCACAGUGGCUAUGACUUUGGAUACCUGAUCAAAAUUCUGUCCAAUGCUAACUUGCCUGAGGAGGAGGUGGACUUCUUUGAGAUUCUCCGCUUGUACUUUCCAGUUAUUUAUGAUGUCAAGUACCUCAUGAAGAGUUGUAAAAACCUGAAGGGGGGGCUGCAGGAAGUAGCUGAGCAGCUGGAGCUGGAGAGGAUUGGACCACAGCAUCAGGCCGGCUCUGACUCUUUACUCACAGGCAUGGCUUUCUUCAAGAUGAGAGAGAUGUUCUUUGAGGAUCAUAUCGACGAUGCAAAGUACUGUGGGCACUUGUACGGGCUCAGCUCUGGUUCUGCCUACGUCCAGAACGGAACAGGGAACGCUUACGAAGAGGAGGCUAACAAGCAGCAGUCGUGACAUCACUCCCAAACUUCCCAUCCUGCUGUUCACACACACACUCAGUGUGGCACUGGAGCAGGCUUUUACCAACUGGAUGAUAAUAAUGUUCUCAGUCUUCCAGGUCAUGGUGAAGUGGAGGCUUGACCCAAAGACAAGUGGACUUGGUUGAAGCUCUUGAAUACGUUUCGUAAAGCCUUUCAGAGGAGCGCUGAAACGUCUUCAAGAUUGUCACCUAAGUCCAGUGGUCUUUGGAUCAAGCUUCACAUUUCUUCUUGACCUAUCAGCUGCUGAUUUUCAAUUCCUAGUCCUGAAAAUGUUCAGAGACGUCUUAUGCAAAGAGUUAUAUCCAGUAUGUACUAAAGCAUACAGAGUUUUCAUUUGAGGAAUGUGGAUACUUUGUGCAUAUAAACACCCUCAUUGACACAAGCACACACGUAAGACGUCUGCAACGCCUCUACAUGGUCUUGUUCCGGUUUAAACCGAAUUCAGCCGAGCUUGAAAAAAGAAAUUUAAAAAAGCGUUUCAAACACUUGCCUGCUUUAGGAGAAGUUGCCCUGAACUACUCUGUUGAGAGUAUAUUUUCAUUUUUUUUAAUUGAAGUGAAGGUUUUGUAGAGUUUCAGUGUUGUAAUAAAAGAAGAAAAACACUUUUUCUCAUGAGAAGGGAAAAAAAACCAAACAUGUUGCUUUUGAAACAUGCAACUUUCUGUUCCAGUCGAGUUCAUUUCUCCUGACGUUCUGACCAUUGAAUGGCAUUUGUUUUUGUAUUGUUUUCCUUUUCACCCAUGCUGCGUUGAACAGCUGCAUGUACUAAGAAGUUUGAAUAAAUGCUGAGGUGUGAUGGCACUCUGAACGCUCACAGGUGUGUUGAAGUGUAGGUUCAUGACUUAUUUAAGCUUGCACUGCGUCAAACUGACCACUUCUUUUCUGCAGCACAUCUUCCACAAGUUAAAGAAGAAUUAUGCAAUAUUCAAGAGCAUUGUUUUUAGAUUAUAAUGUAAAUAAAGGCUUGACAAUUUUCUACCAUAACACA